rnacentral:rRNA from 1 species
GGACUACCCGGGUAUCUAAUCCCGUUUGCUACCCUAGCUUUCGCGCCUCAGCGUCAAGAGCAGGCCAGAAAGCCGCCUUCGCCACUGGUGUUCCUCCCGAUAUCUACGCAUUUCACCACUACACCGGGAAUUCCGCUUCCCUCUCCUGCCUUCGAGUCGAUCAGUAUCGAGUGACCCUCCCCAGUUGAGCCGGGGGCUUUCACACUCGACUUGAACGACCGCCUGCGCGCUCUUUACGCCCAGUAAAUCCGGACAACGCUAGCCACCUACGUAUUACCGCGGCGGCUGGCAC